CUUGUGUCAUGAAAACCAUGUCAAUAUCUCCACUGUAGGAACAUAACUCUGGAAAAGGAGAUAUUUCCAGCUGCCACGGAUAGCCGUUUUAUCCGAGCGGUGGGUAUCCCUGCUAUCGGCUUUUCCCCAAUGAACCGGACGCCAAUCCUGCUCCACGAUCACAACGAGUACCUGAACGAGCAAGUCUUCCUGAAAGGCAUCAGUGUGUUCGAGAGGCUCAUCUCAGCUCUUGCCAGUGUUCCUGCCUUUCCUGAUGAGGCUUAGACAGGUCUUAAUUUUAAUCCUCGCUAAAAACGUAUUUCACUGAUGAUCUGAAUAUUUAACUUGAACAUUUUGCAGAGAUUACCAAAGAAUAAUAAAAUGUAUCAUUAAGCCAAACUGAGCACUUAGCCAUUGGUACUAUUAUUUAAAUUUUUUAUGAUUCUCAGGAUCUAGGUGCGGUAAGCUUUGCAUUGCACAGUAGUGCAGUGUUUUUUUUUUAACAACAUGUGUGGACACAGUUUUGAAGAUAUAUCAGCUGUUGUGAAAGCAAUGUUUUGCCAUUAGUAUGGAAAAAAUCAACUAUUAUUAACUCUUUGAUCACGCGUCAUAUAAUGGCCACUUUUACAUUUAACUUGAUUUAAAAAAUAUAAUUUUAUUUAAUAAACUGGAAUUGAAUAAAUAUAUUUGUUCAUUA